rnacentral:lncRNA from 10 species
AGCCUCCCGAGUAGUUGUGACUACAGGCAUGUGCCACCACGCUUGGCUAAUUUUUCUAUUUUUUGGUAGAGACGGGGUUUCACUGUCGGCCAGGCUGGUCUCAAACUCCUGACCUCAAGUUAUCACCCCGCCUCGGCCUCCUGAAGUGUUGGGAUUACAGGCGUGAGCCACUGCGCCCGGCCUGAGAUGAAGCUUAUUGAGGGUACUGAGAAAGAUUUUUGACUCAAUUUCUGAACCUUGUGAAUUCUCACAGCACUUAACAGUAAGGAAUUAUCUGAUAUUUACAUGCUUGUUAUCUGCUUUCCUCAUUAGGAUGCAAACUUCAUAAAACCAUUUUGUUCAUCUCUUCCUGAUACCUGGUAUGCGCUCACUAAAUGCUUGGGAACGUGAAUGAAUGAAUGAAACGUCUUCUGACGUGAUCCUUGUAUCUACAUCUCCUUGCUGCGGCCAAGUCUCAGGUCCUUUUGCUUUCUUCGGGGAUGAUACAGCCACCUGGCCAAAACUGAUCAAACCCCUGCUUCUGUGGGAGGAAGACCCCCAAGAACCAUCAGAGACCAAAGGCCAGAAGCCCAAAUUCAAGGUGUCUGCAGGCCCUUGUCCUCCUGGAAGCUCUAGGGGGAUCCGUCCUGUCUCUUCCUGCUUCUGGAAGCUCCCAGCAUUCCUUGGUUUGUGAAUGCCUCGCUCCAAUCUCUGCCCCCGUCAUCACGCGACCUUCUUCCCCAUGCAUGGGUGCGACUGUGUCUUCACAGGAUGUUCUCUCUGUGUGUCUGGGUCUAAAUUUUCAUCUUCAUCUUCUUUUUUUUGAGACACAGUCUUACUCUGUCACCCAGGCUGGAGUGCAGUGAUGCAAUCUCGGCUGACCUCCCAGGAUCACCUCCACCUCCCAGGAUCAAGCGAUUCUCCUGCCUCAGCCUCCUGAGUAGCUGGGAUUACAAGCAUGUGCCACCAUGUCUGGCUAAUUUUUAUAUUUUUAGUAGAGACA